rnacentral:rRNA from 1 species
GACGAACGCUGGCGGCGUGCUUAACACAUGCAAGUCGAACGAUGAAGCUAGAGCUUGCUCUGGUGAAUUAGUGGCGAACGGGUGAGUAACACGUGAGUAACCUGCCCCGAACUCUGGGAUAACUGCUGGAAACGGUAGCUAAUACUGGAUACGACCUACGAAGCAAUCUUCUGUAGGUGGAAGGAAUUUCGGUUCGGGAUGGACUCGCGGCCAAUCAGCUUGUUGGUGGGGUAAUGGCUCACCUAGGCGACGACGGGUAGCCGGCCUGAGAGGGUGACCGGCCACACUGGGACUGAGACACGGCCCAGACUCCUACGGGAGGCAGCAGUGGGGAAUAUUGCACAAUGGGCGCAAGCCUGAUGCAGCAACGCCGCGUGGGGGAUGACGGCCUUCGGGUUGUAAACCUCUUUUAGUAGGGAAGAAGCGAAAGUGACGGUACCUGCAGAAAAAGCACCGGCUAACUACGUGCCAGCCGCCGCAGUAA